rnacentral:rRNA from 1 species
CCUACGGGCGGCAGCAGUCGAGAAUCAUUCACAAUGGGGGAAACCCUGAUGGUGCGACGCCGCGUGGGGGAAUGAAGGUCUUCGGAUUGUAAACCCCUGUCAUGUGGGAGCAAAUUAAAAAGAUAGUACCACAAGAGGAAGAGACGGCUAACUCUGUGCCAGCAGCCGCGGUAAUACAGAGGUCUCAAGCGUUGUUCGGAAUCACUGGGCGUAAAGCGUGCGUAGGCUGUUUCGUAAGUCGUGUGUGAAAGGCGCGGGCUCAACCCGCGGACGGCACAUGAUACUGCGAGACUAGAGUAAUGGAGGGGGAACCGGAAUUCUCGGUGUAGCAGUGAAAUGCGGAGAUAUCGAGAGGAACACUCGUGGCGUAGGCGGGUUCCUGGACAUUAACUGACGCUGAGGCACGAAGGCCAGGAGAGCGAAAGGGAUUAGAUACCCUUGUAGUC